rnacentral:rRNA from 1 species
UACGGGGGGGGUAAGCGUUGUUCGGAAUUACUGGGCGUAAAGGGCUCGUAGGCGGCCAACUAAGUCAGACGUGAAAUCCCUCAGCUUAACUGGGGAACUGCGUCUGAUACUGGAUGGCUUGGAUUCGGGAGAGGAAUGCGGAAUUCCAGGUGUAGCGGUGAAAUGCGUAGAUAUCUGGAGGAACACCGGCGGCGAAGGCGGCAUUCUGGACCGAUAUUGACGCUGAGGAGCGAAAGCCAGGGGAGCAAACGGG